rnacentral:rRNA from 1 species
CCUACGGGAGGCAGCAGUAGGGAAUAUUGCUCAAUGGGGGAAACCCUGAAGCAGCAACGCCGCGUGGAGGAUGAAGGUUUUCGGAUUGUAAACUCCUUUUGUUAGAGAAGAUAAUGACGGUAUCUAACGAAUAAGCACCGGAUAACUCCGUGCCAGCAGCCGCGGUACUACGGAGGGUGCAAGCGUGACACGGAAUCACUGGGCGUAAAGAGCGCGUAGGCGGGAUAGCAAGUCUGAUGUGAAAUCCUAUGGCGUAACCAUAGAACUGCAGUUUAAACUGUUAUUCUAGAGUAUGGGAGAGGUAGGGGGAAUUCUUGGUGUAGGGGUAAAAUCCGUAGAGAUCAAGAGGAAUACUCAUUGCGAAGGCGACCUGCUAGAACAUAACUGACGCUGAUGCGCGAAAGCGUGGGGAGCAAACAGGAUUAGAUACCCUUGUAGUC